AAAACAUGUCUUAUUGAUUAUAAUUUUAAGUCUAAUCUGCCCAAUGAUAUUUUAUUUAAUGGCUGCAGUAUUUAUAACUGUACAAAGGUAGCAUAAUAAUUAGUUUUUUAAUUGAAAACUAGAAUGAAAGAUUAAAUGAAAUAUAUACUAUAUAAAUAAAAUUAAAAAUUAAAAUUAAAAUUUAAGUAAAAAUUCUUAAAUUAUUUUAAAAGACGAGAAGACCCUAUAGAAUUUUAUUUUUUGUUAUUUUAAAAUUUAGUAAUAAAUUUAAAUAUAUAAUAAAAAAUUUAAUUGGGGUAAUUUUAAAAUUAAAUUAAUUUUUAUUUAAAAAACAUAAAUUAAUGAAUUUUUAAUCUUAAAAUUUAGAUUAAAAAAAUAAAUUACCUUAGG
rnacentral:rRNA from 1 species